GAUGAACGCUAGCGAUAGGCCUAACACAUGCAAGUCGAGGGGCAGCAUAGAGUAGCAAUACUUUGAUGGCGACCGGCGCACGGGUGAGUAACACGUAUGCAACCUACCUACAUCAGGGGAAUAACUCGGAGAAAUUCGGACGAAGACCGCAUCAUACAGGGAUUCCGCAUGGCAAUAUUAGUUAAAGAUUUAUGGGAUGUAGAUGGGCAUGCGUUCCAUUAGCUUGUUGGUGAGGUAACGGCUCACCAAAGCAACGAUGGAUAGGGGAACUGAGAGGUUUGUCCCCCAAACUGGAACUGAGACACGGACCAGACUCCUACGGGAUGCAGCAGUGAGGAAUAUUGGUCAAUGGACGAGAGUCUGAACCAGCCAAAUCGCGUGAAGGAAGACUGCCCUACGGGUUGUAAACUUCUUUUGUACAGGAAUAAAAGACAUUACGUGUAAUGUAUUGCAUGUACUGUACGAAUAAGCAUCGGCUAACUCCGUGCCAGCCGCCGCCGUAA
rnacentral:rRNA from 1 species